rnacentral:rRNA from 1 species
UACGUAGGUGGCAGGCGUUGUCCGGAUUUACUGGGUGUAAAGGGCGUGCAGCCGGGCUGACAAGACAGAUGUGAAAUCCCGCGGCUCAACCGCGGAACUGCAUUUGAAACUGUCAGUCUUGAGUACCGGAGAGGUCAUCGGAAUUCCUUGUGUAGCGGUGAAAUGCGUAGAUAUAAGGAAGAACACCAGUGGCGAAGGCGGAUGACUGGACGGCAACUGACGGUGAGGCGCGAAAGCGUGGGGAGCAAACAGG